GUUAUGAUGGCUGAGUGGUUAAGGUGUUGGACUUGAAAUCCAAUGGGGCUUCACUGUGCAGGUUCAAACCCUGCUUGUAGCG